AUCGCAAAAGUGCACUAAAAUAGUUUUUCUAAAAUCCCACUGUAGUUUAAAGUAAGACUGUAGAGCUUUUGAAAGAAGUAAAAACAAUGUUCAAAUACCAGCAGCUGUCUUGUAAUUCAGUCGCAGUCACACUGGGUCAAUAGUAAUCAUUGUAUUUUAAUUUAACUACUCGCUUCUUCAUCCUUUCUGUCUCUGUGUAACCUCAAAAGGCAAAAAGCGCCCAAAUAAAUUUGCAGGACUACGCUUGAUGUGGAGGAACAAAUUAGCUUCUGGCUGCCUGAAUCGAGCUGAGGGCGCCUGUAAAACAAGUAAAAUGCAGUGGUGGGAAAAGACAAAAAGACUUGGACAAGAGACAGGCCGGACAUAAGGUGGAGAGAAGAGAGGGAGAAGUGGACCGAGCUGGCAGGAGGCGGGGGGGGGUCAUGGAGGACAAAACUCAUCCUAUUCUGGUCGGUUGGAGAGAUAAGACUGAUGUGACAGAGAGGAAAGGACGGGAGUAACGGAAGAGGGAGUUUUGUUUGGACAGAGAGGGAUGGAGAAGAGAAAAUGUAAAGAGAUGAAACAAAAAAAGAAUGAGAGCGAGGGACAGAGCUAACGGUGGGAUGUGGAGGAGGGGAAAAAGAGGAAGACGGUGAUAGAUAGGCGAGUGAUGGAAAGGCAGCGGCGGCAGGAAGUGAAUGUUAACAGAUUAAAAGUGAGAAAGAAGACCGAGAGACGAAUGACUCCGAGAAGUGAGCGAGGAGAGG